UCCUUACGCAGCAUGAUUCAUCUUGGCUUUGUGCCGAGGUCACUUUCUGCUGGGUUUUGCUAAAAAUAUGGCUUCUUGAGGAAGAGGAGGGGGAGGAAGCCCUGCUUUGGAGCUGGGGUUUGGUCCUCACCUGGUUGACCUGACCCAUUGCUCUUCCCCUACCUUCUCUGCCUUUAUGGCCUGGAAAAACAGGAACUGGCUUUGCAAGGCAUUCCCAGCUCAGAGGGGCGGGGGCCUGGCAAGCCCCAGGAUUUCCAGAGCUCCCCCCCUGACCAUUAAAGUCAGACACUGAGGCAGCCCCAGGUGAGAGAGGACUCGAGCCUGGGCUGUCCCUCUGGGGCCUUGGGCUGAGCUCAGACAGAAGCCUGAAAUAUUCGGAGCAUUACCAAGGGUGACUCUUCCCAUUCCUGACUGAGGAAGCAAGAGAGCCAAAUGGGGGACUCCUAGCUGCACUGAUGGGAAAUGCAAGGUUGGAUUUUCAGUCCUGCAGCCCCGAGGAGGUGGGAACAAACAAGACCCAAAGAACCUGAAACAGAGCAGAUGGUGGAUAGAUAGGUCUGUGUCAUUGAGGCGGCUUGAGGAAGCUCCUGACCACAGACAACACCCUCCACAAAUCUGCUCAGAAGAAAGGAAAGGAACCCAUGCCCUAGCCAGCCAUGCAAAG